rnacentral:rRNA from 1 species
UCCGGUUGAUCCUGCCAGAGGUUACUGCUAUCGGAGUUCGAGUAAGCCAUGCGAGUCUAAAGGUUUCUUCGGAAACCUUGGCGGACUGCUCAGUAACACGUGGAUAACCUACCCUUAGGACUGGGAUAACCCCGGGAAACUGGGGAUAAUACCGGAUAGAUCAGGGAUGCUGGAAUGCACCUUGAUCCAAAGCUCCGGCGCCUAUGGAUGGGUCUGCGGCCUAUCAGGUUGUAGUGGGUGUAACGUACCUACUAGCCGACGACGGGUACGGGUUGUGAGAGCAAGAGCCCGGAGAUGGAUUCUGAGACACGAAUCCAGGCCCUACGGGGUGCAGCAGGCGCGAAACCUUUACAAUGUGCGAAAGCAUGAUAAGGGGACUCCGAGUGCCAGCAUCUAAUGCUGGCUGUCCUUGUGCCUAAAAAGCACAAGAUAGCAAGGGCCGGGUAAGACCGGUGCCAGCCGCCGCGGUAACACCGGCGGCCCGAGUGGUAGCCGCUAUUAUUGGGUCUAAAGGGUCCGUAGCCGGUUCGGUAAGUCCUCUGGGAAAUCUGGUUGCUUAACAAUCAGACUGCCAAGGGAUACUGCUGAACUUGAGACCGGGAGAGGUAAGAGGUACUUCAGGGGUAGGAGUGAAAUCUUGUGAUCCCUGGGGGACCAUCUGUGGCGAAGGCGUCUUACCAGAACGGGUCUGACGGUGAGGGACGAAAGCUGGGGGCGCAAACCGGAUUAGAUACCCGGGUAGUCCCAGCCGUAAACGAUGCUCGCUAUGUGUCAGGUACGGUGCGACCGUAUCUGGUGCCGUAGGGAAGCCGUGAAGCGAGCCACCUGGGAAGUACGGUCGCAAGACUGAAACUUAAAGGAAUUGGCGGGGGAGCAC